GAUGAAGAACGCAGCGAAAUGCGAUAAGUAAUGUGAAUUGCAGAAUUCAGUGAAUCAUCGAAUCUUUGAACGCACAUUGCGCCCGCCAGUAUUCUGGCGGGCAUGCCUGUCUGAGCGUCAUUUCAACCCUCAUGCCCCUAGGGCGUGGUGUUGGGGAUCGGCCAAACCCCGCGAGGGACGGCCGGCCCCUAAAUCUAGUGGCGGACCCGUCGUGGCCUCCUCUGCGAAGUAGUGAUAUUCCGCAUCGGAGAGCGAUGAGCCCCUGCCGUUAAACCCCCAACUUUCCAAGGUUGACCUCAGAUCAGGUAGGAAUACCCGCUGAACUUAAGCAUAUCAAUAAGCGGAGGA
rnacentral:misc_RNA from 1 species